rnacentral:rRNA from 6 species
CAGACCUCUAAUCGGAAAAGACUACCCGCUGAGUUUAAGCAUAUCAAUAAGCCGGAGGAA